GCUCUAUUCGUCUAUCGGUUAGGACGCAAGAUUUUCAUUCUUGAAAGGUGGGUUCAACUCCCGCAUAGAGUA
rnacentral:tRNA from 1 species